GGUUAAGCGACUAAGCGUACACGGUGGAUGCCCUGGCAGUCAGAGGCGAUGAAGGACGUGCUAAUCUGCGAAAAGCGUCGGUAAGGUGAUAUGAACCGUUAUAACCGGCGAUGUCCGAAUGGGGAAACCCAGUGCAAUUCGUUGCACUAUCGUUAACUGAAUACAUAGGUUAACGAGGCGAACCGGGGGAACUGAAACAUCUAAGUACCCCGAGGAAAAGAAAUCAACCGAGAUUCCCCCAGUAGCGGCGAGCGAACGGGGAGCAGCCCAGAGUCUGAAUCAGCUUGUGUGUUAGUGGAACGGUCUGGAAAGUCCGACGGUACAGGGUGAUAGUCCCGUACACCAAAAUGCACAGGCUGUGAACUCGAAGAGUAGGGCGGGACACGUGGUAUCCUGUCUGAAUAUGGGGGGACCAUCCUCCAAGGCUAAAUACUCCUGACUGACCGAUAGUGAACCAGUACCGUGAGGGAAAGGCGAAAAGAACCCCGGCGAGGGGAGUGAAAAAGAACCUGAAACCGUGUACGUACAAGCAGUGGGAGCACCUUCGGGUGUGACUGCGUACCUUUUGUAUAAUGGGUCAGCGACUUAUAUUCUGUAGCAAGGUUAACCGUAUAGGGGAGCCGCAGGGAAACCGAGUCUUAACUGGGCGUUAAGUUGCAGGGUAUAGACCCGAAACCCGGUGAUCUAGCCAUGGGCAGGUUGAAGGUUGGGUAACACUAACUGGAGGACCGAACCGACUAAUGUUGAAAAAUUAGCGGAUGACUUGUGGCUGGGGGUGAAAGGCCAAUCAAACCGGGAGAUAGCUGGUUCUCCCCGAAAGCUAUUUAGGUAGCGCCUCGUGAACUCAUCUUCGGGGGUAGAGCACUGUUUCGGCUAGGGGGUCAUCCCGACUUACCAACCCGAUGCAAACUACGAAUACCGAAGAAUGUUAUCACGGGAGACACACGGCGGGUGCUAACGUCCGUCGUGAAGAGGGAAACAACCCAGACCGCCAGCUAAGGUCCCAAAGUCAUGGUUAAGUGGGAAACGAUGUGGGAAGGCACAGACAGCCAGGAUGUUGGCUUAGAAGCAGCCAUCAUUUAAAGAAAGCGUAAUAGCUCACUGGUCGAGUCGGCCUGCGCGGAAGAUGUAACGGGGCUAAACCAUGCACCGAAGCUGCGGCAGCGACACUAUGUGUUGUUGGGUAGGGGAGCGUUCUGUAAGCCUGCGAAGGUGUGCUGUGAGGCAUGCUGGAGGUAUCAGAAGUGCGAAUGCUGACAUAAGUAACGAUAAAGCGGGUGAAAAGCCCGCUCGCCGGAAGACCAAGGGUUCCUGUCCAACGUUAAUCGGGGCAGGGUGAGUCGACCCCUAAGGCGAGGCCGAAAGGCGUAGUCGAUGGGAAACAGGUUAAUAUUCCUGUACUUGGUGUUACUGCGAAGGGGGGACGGAGAAGGCUAUGUUAGCCGGGCGACGGUUGUCCCGGUUUAAGCAUGUAGGCUGAUUGUCCAGGCAAAUCCGGAUAAUCAAGGCUGAGGUGUGAUGACGAGGCACUACGGUGCUGAAGUAACAAAUGCCCUGCUUCCAGGAAAAGCCUCUAAGCAUCAGGUAACAUCAAAUCGUACCCCAAACCGACACAGGUGGUCAGGUAGAGAAUACCAAGGCGCUUGAGAGAACUCGGGUGAAGGAACUAGGCAAAAUGGUGCCGUAACUUCGGGAGAAGGCACGCUGGUGUGUAGGUGAAGCCCCUGCGGGUGGAGCUGAGACCAGUCGAAGAUACCAGCUGGCUGCAACUGUUUAUUAAAAACACAGCACUGUGCAAACACGAAAGUGGACGUAUACGGUGUGACGCCUGCCCGGUGCCGGAAGGUUAAUUGAUGGGGUUAUCCGUAAGGAGAAGCUCUUGAUCGAAGCCCCGGUAAACGGCGGCCGUAACUAUAACGGUCCUAAGGUAGCGAAAUUCCUUGUCGGGUAAGUUCCGACCUGCACGAAUGGCGUAAUGAUGGCCAGGCUGUCUCCACCCGAGACUCAGUGAAAUUGAACUCGCUGUGAAGAUGCAGUGUACCCGCGGCAAGACGGAAAGACCCCGUGAACCUUUACUAUAGCUUGACACUGAACAUUGAGCCUUGAUGUGUAGGAUAGGUGGGAGGCUUUGAAGCGUGGACGCCAGUCUGCGUGGAGCCAACCUUGAAAUACCACCCUUUAAUGUUUGAUGUUCUAACGUUGGCCCCUGACCGGGGUUGCGGACAGUGUCUGGUGGGUAGUUUGACUGGGGCGGUCUCCUCCCAAAGCGUAACGGAGGAGCACGAAGGUUAGCUAAUCCUGGUCGGACAUCAGGAGGUUAGUGCAAUGGCAUAAGCUAGCUUGACUGCGAGCGUGACGGCGCGAGCAGGUGCGAAAGCAGGUCAUAGUGAUCCGGUGGUUCUGAAUGGAAGGGCCAUCGCUCAACGGAUAAAAGGUACUCCGGGGAUAACAGGCUGAUACCGCCCAAGAGUUCAUAUCGACGGCGGUGUUUGGCACCUCGAUGUCGGCUCAUCACAUCCUGGGGCUGAAGUAGGUCCCAAGGGUAUGGCUGUUCGCCAUUUAAAGUGGUACGCGAGCUGGGUUUAGAACGUCGUGAGACAGUUCGGUCCCUAUCUGCCGUGGGCGCUGGAGAAUUGAGGGGGGCUGCUCCUAGUACGAGAGGACCGGAGUGGACGCAUCACUGGUGUUCGGGUUGUCAUGCCAAUGGCACUGCCCGGUAGCUAAAUGCGGAAGAGAUAAGUGCUGAAAGCAUCUAAGCACGAAACUUGCCCCGAGAUGAGUUCUCCCUGAGACUUUAAGUCUCCUGAAGGAACGUUAAAGACGAUGACGUUGAUAGGCCGGGUGUGUAAGCGCAGCGAUGCGUUGAGCUAACCGGUACUAAUGAACCGUGAGGCUUAACCUU
rnacentral:rRNA from 1 species